GCUCCUCCGAGGGCUGCUGGCAGCUGUGCCUUUCCGGAGAGGGGGUUUGCUCUCUCUUCAGCCCCUGGGUUCAGUACAGGUGUGGCAGUGCUGCAGGACUUAGACCAGUGGACUCUGUGACAGCCCUGGCUGGAGCUGCAGCUCCUGCUCAAACAGUGAAGAACCCUCACGUCCCUGCUGAGCCAGCAGCCCUUCCUGUCACUGGUACUCACUUGCCUUGAGGGUCAGGAUGAGCAAAGGGAAGGGCUCCGUGCAUCCCUGCACAAUCAAGUCACUCAGGUAAG